GAUGAACGCUAGCGGCAGGCUUAACACAUGCAAGUCGAGGGGUAUAGGUUUUCGGACCUAGAGACCGGCGCACGGGUGCGUAACGCGUAUGCAAUCUACCUUUCACAGAGGGAUAGCCCAGAGAAAUUUGGAUUAAUACCUCAUAGUAUAGCAGUUUCGCAUGAAAUCACUAUUAAAGUAUCAACGGUGAAAGAUGAGCAUGCGUCCCAUUAGCUAGAUGGUAAGGUAACGGCUUACCAUGGCUACGAUGGGUAGGGGUCCUGAGAGGGAGAUCCCCCACACUGGUACUGAGACACGGACCAGAAUCCUACGGGAGGCAGCAGUGAGGAAUAUUGGUCAAUGGACGCAAGUCUGAACCAGCCAUGCCGCGUGCAGGAUGACGGUCCUAUGGAUUGUAAACUGCUUUUGUACGAGAAGAAACAACAUUACGUGUAAUGUCUUGACGGUAUCGUAAGAAUAAGGAUCGGCUAACUCCGUGCCAGCCGCCGCAGUAACAC
rnacentral:rRNA from 1 species